rnacentral:rRNA from 2 species
UCUGGUAUUGAUUGGUGCUUGCAUCAUGAUUUACAUUUGAGUGAGUGGCGAACUGGUGAGUAACACGUGGGAAACCUGCCCAGAAGCGGGGGAUAACACCUGGAAACAGAUGCUAAUACCGCAUAACAACUUGGACCGCAUGGUCCGAGUUUGAAAGAUGGCUUCGGCUAUCACUUUUGGAUGGUCCCGCGGCGUAUUAGCUAGAUGGUGGGGUAACGGCUCACCAUGGCAAUGAUACGUAGCCGACCUGAGAGGGUAAUCGGCCACAUUGGGACUGAGACACGGCCCAAACUCCUACGGGAGGCAGCAGUAGGGAAUCUUCCACAAUGGACGAAAGUCUGAUGGAGCAACGCCGCGUGAGUGAAGAAGGGUUUCGGCUCGUAAAACUCUGUUGUUAAAGAAGAACAUAUCUGAGAGUAACUGUUCAGGUAUUGACGGUAUUUAACCAGAAAGCCACGGCUAACUACGUGCCAGCAGCCGCGGUAAUACGUAGGUGGCAAGCGUUGUCCGGAUUUAUUGGGCGUAAAGCGAGCGCAGGCGGUUUUUUAAGUCUGAUGUGAAAGCCUUCGGCUCAACCGAAGAAGUGCAUCGGAAACUGGGAAACUUGAGUGCAGAAGAGGACAGUGGAACUCCAUGUGUAGCGGUGAAAUGCGUAGAUAUAUGGAAGAACACCAGUGGCGAAGGCGGCUGUCUGGUCUGUAACUGACGCUGAGGCUCGAAAGUAUGGGUAGCAAACAGGAUUAGAUACCCUGGUAGUCCAUACCGUAAACGAUGAAUGCUAAGUGUUGGAGGGUUUCCGCCCUUCAGUGCUGCAGCUAACGCAUUAAGCAUUCCGCCUGGGGAGUACGGCCGCAAGGCUGAAACUCAAAGGAAUUGACGGGGGCCCGCACAAGCGGUGGAGCAUGUGGUUUAAUUCGAAGCUACGCGAAGAACCUUACCAGGUCUUGACAUACUAUGCAAAUCUAAGAGAUUAGACGUUCCCUUCGGGGACAUGGAUACAGGUGGUGCAUGGUUGUCGUCAGCUCGUGUCGUGAGAUGUUGGGUUAAGUCCCGCAACGAGCGCAACCCUUAUUAUCAGUUGCCAGCAUUAAGUUGGGCACUCUGGUGAGACUGCCGGUGACAAACCGGAGGAAGGUGGGGAUGACGUCAAAUCAUCAUGCCCCUUAUGACCUGGGCUACACACGUGCUACAAUGGAUGGUACAACGAGUUGCGAACUCGCGAGAGUAAGCUAAUCUCUUAAAGCCAUUCUCAGUUCGGAUUGUAGGCUGCAACUCGCCUACAUGAAGUCGGAAUCGCUAGUAAUCGCGGAUCAGCAUGCCGCGGUGAAUACGUUCCCGGGCCUUGUACACACCGCCCGUCACACCAUGAGAGUUUGUAACACCCAAAGUCGGUGGGGUAA